GCUGGGCUCAGUGAAGAAUGCCUGCAGUCCCAGCUACUCAGGAGACUGAGGUGGAAGGGCCACUUGAGUCCAGGAGUUCUGGGCUGUAGUGCACUAUGCCAACUGGGUGACUACAGUAAGUUUGGUGUCAAUAAGGUGACCUCCCGGGGAGCGGGGGACCACCGGGUUGCCUAUGGAGAGGUAAACUGGCCCACGUCAGAAAUGGAGCAGGUCAAAACUCUUGUGCUGAUUAGUAGUGGGAUCGCACCUGUGAAUAGUCACUGCAUUCCAGCCUGGGCAACAUACAGGGACCCCU
rnacentral:SRP_RNA from 1 species